rfam:Paeniclostridium sordellii ATCC 9714 gcs9714.contig.102, whole genome shotgun sequence.
AUGUAAAAUAGGGGCGAUGAAGUAUAUUCUUUAUAUGGGUACUUGGAAUAUAUGGAGCAAGUAGUGCAACCGACUAUUCAUAAG